rnacentral:rRNA from 1 species
UACGUAGGUGGCAAGCGUUGUCCGGAUUUACUGGGCGUAAAGCGCGCGUAGGCGGCUUCGCAAGUCCGUGGUGAAAUCUCCCGGCUUAACCGGGAGGGGUCUGCGGAUACUGCGGGGCUUGAGUAGCGUAGACGAAGAUGGAAUUCCGGGUGUAGUGGUGAAAUGCGUAGAUAUCCGGAGGAACACCAGUGGCGAAGGCGGUCUUCGAGGCGCUUACUGACGCUGAGGCGCGAAAGCGUGGGGAGCGAACCGGAUUAGAAACCCUUGUAGUCC